UACGUAGGGUGCAAGCGUUGUCCGGAAUUAUUGGGCGUAAAGAGCUCGUAGGCGGGCUGUCGCGUCUGCUGUGAAAACUCGGGGCUUAACCCCGGGCCUGCAGUGGGUACGGGCAGACUAGAGUGCGGUAGGGGAGACUGGAAUUCCUGGUGUAGCGGUGAAAUGCGCAGAUAUCAGGAGGAACACCGGUGGCGAAGGCGGGUCUCUGGGCCGUAACUGACGCUGAGGAGCGAAAGCAUGGGGAGCGAACAGG
rnacentral:rRNA from 1 species